rnacentral:rRNA from 1 species
AACGAACGCUGGCGGCGUGCCUAACACAUGCAAGUCGAGCGAGAACGGGGGGGCGAACUCCCUUAGUAAAGACGGCGCACGGGUGAGUAACACGUAGGUAACCUACCCCUAACGCCUGGGAUAACCUACCGAAAGGUGGGCGUAAUACCGGAUAUGACCACGGCGGUUUCGGCCGCUGCGGUGAAAGGUGGCCUCUAUUUAUAAGCUACCACUGAGGGAUGGGCCUGCGCGCCAUUAGCUAGUUGGCGGGGUAACGGCCCACCAAGGCAAUGAUGGCUAGCUGGUCUGAGAGGAUGGCCAGCCACACUGGAACUGAAACACGGUCCAGACUCCUACGGGAGGCAGCAGUGGGGGGAUAUUGCGCAAUGGGCGAAAGCCUGACGCAGCGACGCCGCGUGGGUGAAGAAGG